GUUGCCGGCGAUUGUCAAAUUGCAAAUAAAUGUGCAGCACUAUCUUUAUUAAAUUAAUGAUUUAUCAGGGACGGUCAAAAGCAACACAACGUAACGUAAUUUUCUUGAGUAAUUAUUGUGCUAAGAUGUUGCUUACAAAGGAAAAUUAUGUGUUGCAUUGUUUUACAGCCUACAUGCAUCGCUAAUAAUUAUACAUUGAUCUUCAUUGUCAUGUUGUAUAUGUCUUCAUCAACAAAUAAGCUUGAACAACAAUAAGAAUAUUAUUUUGAGUGACCAUGUAAACCACUAGACGGUAUUUCAAGCCCAGCUAAGCUAAACACAAAUUGGAUGAAACUCCAUCUCGAAACAUAUGGAUGUGACAGAAUUAGCUUGAAAACAUUACGCAGUUAGGUCACGUAAAAAGUUGUCUUUUUGCACAACACUAAUCCAACAAGAAUGUAAACUAUCUUCAGUGUAAAUAAUUGCACGUUCCAGUCUGCUACUUAACGUCGAUAAACGGGUUGAUUAUUGAUGCAGAAAUGAUCCUGUAAACGCGAUCACUUUAUAAUUGGACAGCCGGCAACGAUGCAUUCGAUUCGGUACAUCACCCAUUCAGAACACCCCCAUGUUUUGACGCUUAGCCCUAAUUAUCCCAUUCCUGUUCGAUUCAACUCCCCUAAUUUAUACGAAUUCCAAUCGUAAAAAUCGUCGACAUUGCAGAAAUGUUAUGUAAAUGUCGUCGUUAAUAUGAAAGAAUGUUGUACAGGAAUUUAUUUAAAAGAGAUGUUUAUUUCCACAUUCUGUACCUUCCCCUGAUGAUGAUGACGCUGAUGAAAACCACCGCUGCAUUGAGGCGCCACAUACGCAACAAAGAGCAAUUUGGAUGCAUUAUUAACUCAAUUGUAAAAUUGGUAAUUGGGCAUGGCAAUGGUCUUUAUUCAACGAUGUUUCUUUAUCAACACUCUUCAGAAACAUAAGAACGUAAUUAAUACCUACGUAAUAGUAUGGUAAAGAUGCCUUUAUGUACGGAAUGCUUUUUUAUAAAAUACAUGUUUUUGUAUUGUAAUA